UUAAUGUCGUCAUCCGAGGGUCGACCGCUGAGACUGCCACCGAGGCAAACGCCAGUCUUCACUCCCGCAAAGUUCCUCGGAGCGAGGAAGGGAGGAGUUCGCCGGCGAUGGAGAAGAAUGUGGUGAUGAUCUGUGCAGCCGUGAGCUUCCUUGGCCUUCUCUCUGCUACGCUCGGCUUCGCUGCUGAGGCGACAAGGAUCAGGACCGAUGAAGGUUUUGGGUUUUCUUCACCUGACCUACCAUGUGGAAUCGGUUGCUCUGCCGCUCCACUGGAAAGCCAUCAUCUAUCGCGUUAGGGUUUUAUAGGGUUUUAAAGACGGGAUCUCGUUGAUUACGAGGCAUCUUUACUGUUUCCUGUGGUUUCUGAUGUACAAACAUCUAACACUAGGUCAAUGCAUAUAUCCAAGGAGCCCAUCAUUAGCUCUGGGUCUUAUAGCUGCAGUGGCUCUUAUGAUAGCUCAGGCCAUCAUAAGCACCGUAGCUGGGUGUAUAUGUUGCAAGAAAUAUCCAAAUCCAUCCGACACCAACUGGACAAUUGGGAUGAUCGCCUUUGUUGCUUCUUGGUAACUCACGUACUUUAUGUUACAUGGGUGUAUUUACCUAUAUGACAAUCUUAUUGAGCCACCCUUUAUUAUUGGCAAUAGAAUUUGGACAUGGAACUAUAAGCAAGCUACUUGUUUCUGUCAAUUGAUAAUCCAGUAUUGAUUCUUUCUA